UGCAGGCAGACGUGACGGUAGGACGAAUAAUCAAAUGCCACCAAGGGUCUGAGAUUGAAAAGCCUUUGCACAAAGCAUGCAUUAUACCUGCUUUUGAAUUCUUCUCGAGUAUUUCCAACCUUUACAGGGUGCACAGAUUUGAAGCAUAUGUGGGCUACCUGCAGAAAAUAAGCUGGACCUCUGAUUUAUGGAUGCUGCUCAGUGAGGUGGUACGCUCAGACUAAUCUUUCAUUUCUAACAGUGGAAGAACUUUGCAUUUCAUUAACAGGACUCUUCCCACAGCUUGAAACAAGGCCAUCUGCUUACAGGGUUUGUCAGCUAAAAUGCCACGGUGAGGUAAGCUUUGACCUUGUCUAUUUUAAAGCAUACGAAGUGGACAAAGAACACUUCUUCACGGGUUUUUGGUGGAAAACACUUCAAAGUAAUGGGGACAGGGGUAUAAUUUAGGCACUCGCACUUUGUGAAAUAACGGUUCGAUUCAAAGCUCACGGAUGUCAAUAGAAAGACUCCUACUGACUUAAAUAAUCUUUGGAUCCAGCCCCAGAGGUAGAGCCAACAUUCUCAUGCUAAUAGGGCCUGUUGAUCUUAAAGGACGGUUUUCCCAACCGAUCACGCCCAUCCUUCGCCCAAGCUGUGAGCUCACUCGACUGCAGUUGAAAAGUCCCCUCCAGAAACGCCCGUUUCCAAUCCUAGACAAACGUCAUAAUGAAAAUGAUGCCCAAAUCCUAGGAGGAUGCUCCCGUUGGUCCAAAGGGAGGGUGCAAAAUUUGUCACGUUGAUCUGCAACAUUUCAGGGUUCAAGCUACAUGGAAAGCUGCCCUCCGUGUGGGAAAGUGCACAACCCAGAAAGUUAGCAUGAGCCACAGCAACUGGUUUGCAGAUGCAGCUUCCAUGGACAUGAGAUGCAAACACAGGGUUUUAAGGGCCAACUACUGAUCGGAGCUGUACCAGUGCAAAAUGAAAUCACUCCCAUGAAAUGAGCAGGAAGCAAGUCAAAAUUUGGCAGGAUUGGCCAUUCUAAGGUAAAAAAAAAAGUCUUAGAUGCUUGCCUAAAUGAAGCAUGAACCUUUCUUGCAAGCCUUUUACUCCCUGACACCAACCACAUGCUGCAAAAAUCCUUCCUGUCUGUACACCUGCAAAGGGGCUUGUGAGUAGCAAACAGUCCCGCUCCACUACCAUCAGGCUGAGUCAGCUGUCAGAUCAGGAGCGUAACCUGGAUCUUAUCCGUGGCAGCACAGAAAUGAAACUACGUGGCUGCUUCUCUCUCAAAUCCCUGUGGAGGCUGAUUUCUAGUUUAACUUUCCCCUUUCUGCAUCUCCAACUCAAGCAGAUUGUGGCAAUGUUUGGGGUGGAAAAAAAUAAGCACAGAGGAACAGUGUUGUUAUAAAGAAGCUAUGUCCACUACAUUAAAAAUCAUGAAAUAAUACUACCAGCACCAUGCCUAGUGCUUGGCACAUAGAAUAAAAACACAGUGAUGUCCCUAAAAAGCUCAGAAUCAAUUCUUUUGGGCUUAGAUUUAAUUUAAUUGUAUUUAUGAUGAAUUGCAUUAAGAUGUCCAGAGCCUUCAAUAGGCAUCUUUUAAGUUGCUUUUAAAAAAAAAAAAAUCUGAAUUGAAUAUACUUAAGCAAAACUAAAAAUACUUCCUUAUUAUGCAGGUCCAUGCAACUGUAACUCAGAUUGCAAAGCAAACACCUUCUGCAAUGCAAUAUCCUGCUCUAUUGUUGUUGGACCGGCAUUUUCAUUUCCACAGAAAUUUGCUUUCCGUUUCAGAGUUCAAGCAUUAGGAAGAUAAUCUUCAUUUACCAAGUAUGCGUGAAUUGUGCCGGCUUAUUUCUUACGGCCUUUCCUAUUCAUAGAUUCUGGAAGAGAAGAGGCAACUUCUUUAUUAAGGUUCCUCUAAAAGGGGAAGACUGCAGCAGAUCCCAGGACUUCCGAUGGGGAAGUCCUUUUAGGUUACUCAAAGUUUAUACAAGAGGCAAGAAUUUCUUUGGGUGCUACCUUUUAUUGGACCGACUGCAUUAGUUGGCACAGAGUUAAACAAGCUUUUCAAUGCAAAAGACACAAAAAUUAGAAUCACUUAUGGGCUUAAGAGCCUGCAAGUAGGUUUAUGCAUGUUAUCAAGAGCUGGCCAUUUGAACUUAUAUUUUCCAUAUCCUUCACCCUACCUGCAUACGACCAGCUAGCUUCAGUGCAGAAUAGCUAAAUACCACCAGAAAUACAGUUAAUUCUACAUAGAAACAUGAUGUCAAAGAAAGCUGCUCGGGCUGCUUUUUACAGACACCGUGCAAUAGUCUGGCAGUUUGGGCGGUAUCAGAUAUAAUGAAAGCAAGCUGCAAUGAUCACCAAAGGGAUGCCCAAAGAUAACGGUAAUCAGAUCUCUCAGGAAAGGAGGGAAAAGACCCAGACGAAAAAGAUCCUUAUCAGACUCUGCCAGGAGCAACUUUUCAGAAGAAAUUAAAAACAAUCCCUGCAGGUUUAAAUUCCCACCCUUCUCGGAUGAUAUUAAUUGCAAGCAUCCGCGUCCCCUUUCUAAGAAUCGUCGCUGAAAAGCGUGCAGUGAAACAAAAGGGGAAAAUUCACAAGCUUUACGUUUCUUCGUUAUGUUCUUGCCUCUGCUAGAUAAAACACUCACGAUUUUCAGGUGGCCGUCUCCACUACAACUGCUGCCAGACCGUGGCGGGCAGUUGCACUUAACUACCCCCAUUAGUGCAGCCAAACUGAGCCACUUGCAAUGAGAUGCGCUGGAAACCUGGUCCAGGAUUUGCUGCGUUCAGCAUUAAGUGCCACACAACGAUAAGAAUCAAUUCUGCCCAGUUAGACACAGAUUGAAAAUCUUAAUAGUUAUUGAAAUCUUUUUUUCAAUAUACAGUCUCCACAAACAUGCAGUGCUCAAGGGUUUUGUGGAUCUCAAUUUGGCCAGGUAUUGUAGCGCGCGCCCGACUUCAAGCAUCUGAGCAAUUCCAUUGAAUAGUCACCUGCUUAAAAGGUAGGCACAUGCUUGAUUAGAUGCAUUAUUAUUCAUAUAAAACUAUCCCACAUUUGUGGCACUGGUGGUGUUCCUGUUACAUCUUCUGCAGCCAGCGUCAGAGGCCGGUAGUGGACCAGACGAUGUGCAAGGUAUUUACAUGUGAAAUGGAGAGGGUUAUCUUUAUCCUACGGAGACAGCAAAUGAAGCAGUGGUAGAGACAAAAAUUGCCAUUUAUUCCCUGGCACCAGAGUUUAGACAAGGCUUUUAAACCAUACUUUACUUCCCAUGGGCCAGUGACUCUCAACCAGGGUGCUGAAGCACCUGCCUGGCCGCUGCCCUGUCCCCUGUGCAAGGAUGUGAGCCCUGCAAUAAAGAAACUAGCGUCUGAAAUGGGGUGCCGCUCAAUUCACACCAGUGAUGGAGAGCGUCUCGAGUCAAACGAUGGGUGCUAUGUAUCUAAUAAGGUUGUGACCGCUGCCAUCGACACUGUACGAGAAAUGGGAGGAAUGAAAAAUGAAUAGGUAUGAAGGGGGGGGUUGUAUUGCACAUGAAAGACACUGCACAUGCCAGAUGCUAAAAAACCUUUAUUCCUUUUAUCUGUCUAGCAGAUAUGCUGAAAAGCACAGCAGACCAACUUCUCUCCCUGCUGCAUUUGAUGGGCUUCCUUGAGUGCGAAUGCGGGCAGCUUUUGCUUGCAUAUCUAGAAGGCGAGCUACUCUAAUCCCCUAUCGUCAAAAUAAUUUGAUGUCAUCUUUGGUUUUCUAGCCAGCGGAUAGUAGUUUAACCAUGCAACCCAUUCCUCUCCGUCCCCAACCCCAAUCUAUGCAUCAGAAGUAGGGGCAGGAGCAGGCUGUAAUGUACCUAUGCUGUUUUCAAUGGGACCUUUCGUUGCAAUUUCAAAGGUUGAUGGAAAAAAACCUGCCGCCAUGAAAAUAUCACCUACAUUUUUGCAACAAGCCCCUCCACAUGUCUCAAUUGACCCAUUUUUCAAGCAAAAAAAAAAAAAAAUCAUCAUUAAUUUCAGUUGGGGAAUCUGACGCAGCACGGCUUAUGCCUCUAACGACGGGCACCCGCAACCCAAACUAGUGAAGACUGGGGAAAAAUGUGGCCUGGGCAAAUAUCAUUCAGUUAGCCACAAAAUUCUCCAUUGGGCUUUGGAUCGAGACUCAAAUAUACAUAUCUGAGGGCAGCAGGUUGUUCUCAAUAAUGCUAUCGUACAGGACAAAGCUAGCCUAUCUUUCUCCUUACAGCACCCGUGUAACAUUUGUAACCUGCCAUAUUUCCUUGCAGAAGUUCUCCUGGUUCGUUUUCAAAGAGCGCCCUGGGUUCAGUAGCUGUUGCUGUCUGUGGCAAUCUGCUCCCCAUGCUGUUAUGCUCUGUAUAAUGCUCUGUAUAAUGACACGCCGGGUAUCGAAGCCAACCAGGCUGCAUAGGCAGGACUGUGCUGCCGUAACCAGAUGCUGUGUCAAUUGGAGAAACCACUUGUAUUGUAGAGGUUCCAUUCAAGAAGGUGGCUUCGUGGAUCUAGGCACUAUGCAAACACACUGGGGGGGGAAAAAGACCUGUUGUCCCAAACAGCCCGCAUCCUAAAUAGAGUGGAAUGAGGAUUAACUCGUUAUGAAAUCAGACUCCAUAUGUAUCCACAGAUGAGCCAGCCACUGCAGCAAAUAAAACUGAAGGCAGUACCUACCCUACCGCCUGAAAUCAUUUUGCUGAUAAAACUAUAAUAUCUCUCUGUUCUCAGUCAUGGCAAUAUGCACCAGGGACCAGUACGUGAACCAGCCAAUGCCCGUCUCAUGGAGCGGGGGGACAGGGGACUAAAGGAGGAGCUGAAACAGAAAGUAGCAAAGAAUUAUGACAUUACUAUGGCAAACCUGCUUGCAAAUAACACCCUUCGCACCUUUGGACCUCGCUUUGUGUGAUCACAUCAAUGACUGAAAGCUGCUGGCGGGGGCUAGGACGGGGGUUAUUGGUUCCUGGAAGGAUGGACAGCAUUGCCAGGGGCAUUAUGAAUGUACAAGCUUGGGCUGGUCUAUAAAAUAGCAUGGCCAACAGUGGCAUGACCAAGUGCAGAGCUAAUCUGCUCUGCCUCUAGAUGCAUCUAUUAUUACAUGACUGAAAAAACUCUUAGAGCAACCUGAUCUCUGAAGGGCCAGGUCCUUUUGCACCUAUUCGGUGACUAAGUGGCGUGCAAUGCACCAUUUGCAGACUUUUGGACUGUGCCUUCUUCUUAGGAGGAAGUCACAAAAAGUGCACCUUUUGCCAACAUGGGUUUUCAGGGUCUUAAGCAGGGUGACAUAGGUGCCCAAGUCUCAAUGAGACCGGGGAGGCCCAGUUUGAUCUGAAAAAGAACGGCCAAACAAUCUAGUGACACCCCACGGUUUCCAACCUGAGUUUAGAGGGAAUACAUUACUUCUGCAAUCAUGCCACCCCAUUUGGGACACACUGAUACAAUAGAAAUCAACCCCUUAUCUGCACCAUAAGUGACAAGGCAUCUAAAAAUAACCCUAGCCUGUAGCUGCAGCAGGCCUGGGCUUCUGUGUUGUUUCUUUCUUUAAUGCUGGACCCCUGCAUGACGUCCAUUGGUGUCCAAAACUGCCACGUGUACGUGUGCAGAUAUGCAAUAGCCAGGUGACAGAAAGGUGGGUUGAAAAGAGCCAUUGCUCACCAGUUUAGGAGCAGAAGAUACAUGACAACUUUGAAAACAGGACGCUGAGCUGAGAGAGGGAAAUAGCACGCAGCAGGCAGGGAGCGAAGGGGGAUUUUUGGUCAAGGACAACUAAGCAUUGACCCAAAUUUGCGGCAAUGAGCAUUUGACCACGAAGGCAAUGGCAGCAAUGUUUUUGCAGUGAGUUGGUUUUCUGUGGUCUUGGAAGAAAGACUCCCCGAAAUAAUCAACUUGGUGGUACUCAAUGCUGUGAAACGACGACGUGACCCUGUUCGGGUCAGAAGCAGAAAUUCUGGGAAAUCCUAAUACUCUAGUUUGGAGACAAGGCGGGUGGCUUAGUGACACUGGCAUGUCAGGUAAGACAGCCAAGGAUACUGAAGUGCCAGCAAUUAGUUUUCUCUGAACCGGAGACGCUGACGGCAAAUAAUUUCUUACCUAAUAUCUACAUUUAACAACACGGUGACUGAGAUCUGACACUGGUGGAAAUAGUGGUAAUUUAGAUGGCAUUGGGUGCAUCUACACAAGAUACUUAAUGUGCAUUAGUGUGGUGGGCAAAGCCCAUGCUAAUGAGCUGUAGAUUUAGUCUAAUGCACAGUAGCAUCACCAAAAAAAUGUUCACCUGUGCUAAUGUGCGGUAGUGUUGAUUAUGGCACAUUAAAUUAGCACCUGUCAUUAGUGGUACUAAAACUUAACGUACCGUAACUACAGUGCAUUAAGGAACAUGUAGACGUGCCCAUUUCAACCCAAAUUAAGGACCUACAUCAAGCCCAAGGAAGUCAGAGUGGCAUCAAUAGCUGAUGAGGUUAGCAAGCAAACGGCAGGCUGAGGCAUAAGAGAUGCUCAUAUGGGAUUCCCUCUGCAAAAGUUACACCCAAGACAAAAUUCAAGCAGGAGGUGAGGAACAAGAAGAGGGAUGACAACUAAAUCCCGAUGGCCUCCAGGUGAAGAAAAGUAGUGGUAAGGUUUCUGCUGCCCUCAGUGGGAGGGGAACAAAGAUAAAGGCACCAUAAACUCAACUGCACUCUCUCACAAUGCUGUAAUUGUAGACUGGAGCCAAUGCUCCAUGAGUCAAGACACAAAGCAAUGAACUGAAGCAAAAAAGCUCAUCCUGAUCUAGGACCCACAAUUGCCAGCCACGCUCCUUUUCUACCUAUGCAUGCAGGACGCACAUGGAGUUGGAAAGGCUGAACACCUACACAGAGCACCUACACAGUGCACGGCACGGAGAGCUCACGGCUGUCGUGAGCAAACCCAAGUGGAUCAGCCAAAGGUUUUCAUGAAGGGACAGGGUGAUUUAGGGGAUUCAUGGGAUAUAUGGACUUGGAAACCCCACCAAAAACGAAGCAAGCCAAGGAAACUCCCCCUCCAGCCAUGCAGAAUGCUAACCUGGGAUGUUCCAGGCCAUCUCUUUAGGGUUGAUGUUAGCUCAAUUUGGGGCAGGAAUAGCAAUGCUGUAACCUCUUGGCAUGAUGCAGAUAACUUUUUGCCUUGACAGCUGCUGCCUAUACGGUUGUCUGCUGUGUGCACUUGUAAAGGGGCAGUGGUGGGGAAGAAAGAAAACAGCCGAGAACAGCUGGGAAGAAUACAGACCACGAGGCCAGCGGAUGCACUGGGAACCUGUCAUUUGUGCCUUUAAAUCUCUCUGUGACCUUCUGAUUUUGCAAAAAUCUCCAUCCAUUUUCCAUAAAAGGCCUAACUGCAUGUGGGUCACAGGGAGCCAAUUGUUUUUCAACAGCAUUUUGCCGAUCCUAUUCUUAGCAGCGAUCAUGUCAGCUCUUCCUGAGACAUGAGCAAUAAAUGGGGGCAGAUUUGGUUCACAGUGUAUGUAAUUCUGCUAUUCUCCUCUCUCCUGCAGAAAAUGAAUUUGCCGUGACAGCCACAUUACUUAGGUGCUAUAUGAUUCCUUACACACAUUUCUGCAAUAACAAAAUCACCAUUGAAACCGACACAUUGAAACCGAGAACUCUUCAUUCACUCUGCCUCUGCUUUUCACAUUACCUCUCCCAUCCUUCAUCUGUACUCGGUCUGCUUAGAUUUUAAGAUCCUCCCAGCAGGGAAACUUCACAUCUCUGUCAAGCGCCAGGCACCCUGCUAAUGCUACUCUGGAGAGAACAACAACAAUCACACGUGCGGGAAACUUAUUUGGGGGCAGCUAAGUACUGCAGCCUCCAAAAGGGGCAUGUAGUGUAGGGUCCUAACCUACAAAAUGGGUUGGGUGGAGGAAACAUUUAGUGGCAUGGGUCUUGGUUCCCUCAGCACCUUUUUAUUUCUUUUUGUUUUAUCCAAGAAUUAAAUAGUAACCAUCAAUGACUCGGCAGAUUUCUUAACGAGAGAAGCCUGAUGCUUUAGUUUUGCAGGCACCAAGGUCUACAUAAAUGUUCUGUUGGCGAUAGCUCUUGAAUGACCAUUAUUCUUUUAAAAUGAGAAGACCUAUUUGCGCAAUGGCCUGGGAGAUUAAGUUUAAAAUGGGAACAUUAUACAAAAAAUUACAUGCAAGCUAGUCAGCAGGCCAAAUUCAAGACAGAUUUAGGCCCAAGUGGCAUGCAGCACCAAUGAAAUACACCACUGAAACCAAGCGCUAUGCAAAAUAACUGCUUAAUUUGACCCACCACGUAUUUUAAUUAGGAGAGAAGCAAGCAGACUUGUGAAGAUGGUGAUAAGUCAUUUCUUCAUUAUGCAAAUAUUACAUCAAGGUAGCGUUGCGCUAUCUAUCACAGUACGCGCUUAACUCAAUCACUUAUUUUCUUAAGACCUACAAAUACAUGGAUUACUUCUGCUCUAAUUAUUGCACUCGUUUAUAACUUCCACUGCUACUUUAAAAAACGAUUUCGCCACCCAAAGUCUAUGCUGCUGGCAGGGUGCUGAUAAAAUGCAUCCAGCGAAUCACAUGCUGUUGCAAAAAUGCAUUAUGGGCUUUAUGGCUCAGAGUGGUUUACCACCAGGGAUUCGAUGAAAUUAGGGCCACAAUGUGGUUUGCACGUUUUUAUGCAGUUCCCACGAACAGAAGAAAUGUUCGCACAGCAAGAAGACGAGAGAACGGCUACAUCAAUCUGCAUGCAUGCAGCAACCGGAUGACUGGCAAGCUCUUUUCCACUAUCCUAGCGCCUGAUCCACCAAGGUCUCAGUAUGAAAAACUCAUUCUGGUUUCAGUGGGAGUUCUCUACUCACAGACUGAAAAUUGAAGCCUGCCAAAUUCAGUAAGCAUUUAGCUCUGAUGAUACCAGAGGUUUUGCAGUCUUUGCUGUACUGUUUGGCUACAUGGAUCCAUCCUCACACUUAAGUGUACUGACGAAUAUACUUGGUGACCACCCACCUGAUUUUUUAAAAGCAUGUUAGGAGUCCCUCGCCCUGCUAGCGAGUGUAUAAAAAGUUAUUCAUUGACAGCCAGUUGAAUUAUACACCUGGAUUUGAAGGAUGUUUUUGUAAAUCUGGUAUUGCUACUAAAGCCUUACAUUAACCAAAGGCAGUCUCUACCAUGAUGCUUAUGAUACCUCGGCACUUGAAUAAUAGCAAAAAGUUGCAGAAUAAAUUAGCUGGUUUAAUAAAAGAUACCGGAUUUGCCCAAAGAAACUUGCCUGCCAGAAUAAA